rnacentral:rRNA from 1 species
AUUCCCCUAGUAACUGCGAGUGAAGCGGGAAAAGCUCAAAUUUAAAAUCUGGCGGUUCGCACCGUCCGAGUUGUAAUUUAGAGAAGCGUUUUCCGCGCCGGACCGUGUACAAGUCUCCUGGAACGGAGCGUCAUAGAGGGUGAGAAUCCCGUCUUUGACACGGACGCCCGGUGCUAUGUGAUACGCUCUCGAAGAGUCGAGUUGUUUGGGAAUGCAGCUCAAAAUGGGUGGUGAACUCCAUCUAAAGCUAAAUAUUGGCGAGAGACCGAUAGCGAACAAGUACCGUGAGGGAAAGAUGAAAAGCACUUUGGAAAGAGAGUGAAACAGUACGUGAAAUUGCUGAAAGGGAAACGCUUGAAGUCAGUCGCGUCCUCCGGAAUUCAGCCUUUUGGGUGUACUUUCCGGUGGGACGGGCCAGCAUCACUUUUGACCGCCGGAGAAGGGUGGAAGGAAUGUGGCACCUUCGGGUGUGUUAUAGCCCUUUUCCGUAUACGACCGUCGGGAAAUAAGGACCGCCUUUUUGUAGGAUGCUGGCGUAAUGGCUUUAAACGACCCGUCUUGAAACACGGACCAAGGAGUCUAACAUGCCCGCGAGUGUUCGGGUGGAAAACCCGUGCGCGUAAUGAAAGUGAAAGUUGGGAAGGCUGUCGCGGCCUGCACCGACGCCCGGACCUGAGAUUCAUCGACGGUUCUGCGGUAGAGCGUGUAUGUUGGGACCCGAAAGAUGGUGAACUAUGCCUGAAUAGGGUGAAGCCAGAGGAAACUCUGGUGGAGGCUCGUAGCGAUUCUGACGUGCAAAUCGAUCGUCAAAUUUGGGUAUAGGGGCGAAAGACUAAUCGAACCAU